rnacentral:rRNA from 1 species
GAUGAACGCUGGCGGCGUACCUAAUACAUGCAAGUCGAGCGAACGGACGAGAAGCUUGCUUCUCUGAUGUUAGCGGCGGACGGGUGAGUAACACGUGGAUAACCUACCUAUAAGACUGGGAUAACUUCGGGAAACCGGAGCUAAUACCGGAUAAUAUUUUGAACCGCAUGGUUCAAAAGUGAAAGACGGUCUUGCUGUCACUUAUAGAUGGAUCCGCGCUGCAUUAGCUAGUUGGUAAGGUAACGGCUUACCAAGGCAACGAUGCAUAGCCGACCUGAGAGGGUGAUCGGCCACACUGGAACUGAGACACGGUCCAGACUCCUACGGGAGGCAGCAGUAGGGAAUCUUCCGCAAUGGGCGAAAGCCUGACGGAGCAACGCCGCGUGAGUGAUGAAGGUCUUCGGAUCGUAAAACUCUGUUAUUAGGGAAGAACAUAUGUGUAAGUAACUGUGCACAUCCUGACGGUACCUAAUCAGAAAGCCACGGCUAACUACGUG